CGGAGGAUCCAAGCGUUAUCCGGAAUCAUUGGGUUUAAAGGGUCCGUAGGCGGUUUUAUAAGUCAGUGGUGAAAUCUGGUCGCUCAACGAUCAAACGGCCAUUGAUACUGUAAGACUUGAAUUACUUGGAAGUAACUAGAAUAUGUAGUGUAGCGGUGAAAUGCUUAGAGAUUACAUGGAAUACCAAUUGCGAAGGCAGGUUACUACAAGUAUAUUGACGCUGAUGGACGAAAGCGUGGGGAGCGAACAGGAUUAGAUACCCUGGUAGUCCACGCCGUAAACGAUGGAUACUAGCUGUUUGGAGCAAUCUGUGUGGCUAAGCGAAAGUGAUAAGUAUCCCAACCGUGGGGAGUACGCUCGCAAGAGUG
rnacentral:rRNA from 1 species